rnacentral:tRNA from 1 species
AGCCUAUUAGCUCAAUAUGGUAGAGCAUUGUGUGACCACACACAAAGAUGUAGGUUCAAUUCCUACAUAGGCUA